UGCGGAGUAGAGCAGCUUGGUAGCUCGUCGGGCUCAUAAUCCGAAGGUCGAUGGUUCAAAUCCUUCCUCCGCUA
rnacentral:tRNA from 1 species